GGGCAUGUAGUAUAGUUGGUUAUUCCGCUGUGAAUGUAACCCAGUCACUGCGGGAGCUCUGGCGUUCGAAUCGCUACUUGUCCG